GUUGUGGCUCAGUGGUAGAGCACUUGCCUGGCAUGUGUGAGGCCCUGGGUUCAAUCCUCAGCACCACA
rnacentral:tRNA from 1 species